rnacentral:lncRNA from 13 species
GUCUGCCUCCUGGGGAACCGCACACUGUCACGGCGCAGCUUCGAUGUCUGUAUCAAGGCCCGGGUCGUCCAGAACGGCUCGGCCACCUCUGCACUCUGGGGCCUCUUCUGCAACGGCUCCCUGCCUAGCGCCACCUGUGACGAGUACUUCACCCAGAACAACGUCACCGAAAUCCAGGGCAUCCCCGGUGCGGCCAGCGGCGUCUUUCUGGAGAACCUGUGGAGCGCGUAUGCACAGGCGGGGGCGUUUGUGGAGAAGGAAGGCGUGCCCUCGGUGCCCGUGGCAGAGGAGAGCCGCGCUGGCGCCCUGCCCUACGUGCUCACGGACAUCGCAGCCUCCUUCACCCUGCUGGUCGGCAUCUACUUCCCUUCCGUGACUGGUGAGCCCGCCGCACCCACCGUCUCCUCUCUGUUUUUGAGACGAGAUCUUGUUCUGUCACCCAGGCUGGAUCACGGCUCACUGCAGCCUCGACCUCCUGGACACACACAGCCCUCCCACCUGAGUCUCCCAAGCAGCUGGGGCCCCAGGCGCAUGACACCAUGCUCAGCUAAUGUCUGUAUUUUUGGUCGGGGGGGGGGUCUCCCUGCGUGCUCUGGCUGGUCUCAGUCCUGAGCUCAAGCAAUCCUUAGCCUCCCAAAGUCCUGGGAUUACAGGUGUCUGGAGCCAUCUCGCCCGGCCUCUCUCCAUCUUUCUCUUUCUCUGACUCUCUCUGUCCCUCUCUGUCUCUGUCAUUCUCUCCCCCUGCACUCUCUAUCUCUCCCCCCACCCCAUUUCUCUCUUCUCUCCUUCUCACGCUCCUUCCUGCCUUUGCUUUUCUUGUUUGUCUGGCUCAGGGGAGCAGCUGAGGUCUCUGCCCUGUGUUCUGGUUGAUUUGUGAGAAUCUGUCCGCUCUGUCCCGGGCAGGCCUGUGUUGGGAGAAGCUGUUCUAGGGUUGGUGAGGAUGCCUGGCGCACUGUUAGGAGAUGCCCGGUAGUGGCAUCAGUGAGGUCAGAGGCCAGGUACCUCAGCCCCUCGUGUCCUCAUCAAACAGUGGCCUUGUUCCCGAGGAGGGUGGGGCCCUUGCGCUCCCAGGUGCACACACACACGCCCCCAGCUGCCUGCACUUGGCCGUCCUAUCAGGACCCCUCUGAUCCUGCCUGUGUGGCCUGCAGCUUCCCUUCCGGUCCCUCCCACGUCUGCUCCUGGACUUUAUCUCAGCGCAUUCCAAAGCCCUGGAGCCCAGGGUCAGCCGCAGGGCCUGGCCAUGGCUGGCGUCUCCUUUCCUUCACCUACCCCGAAGGUGGGCCCAUCUUGCUAGGGAGGCGGUGAUCAGCCCGGGGUCCUUUCCUUGUUCCUCCCCUCCUGCCUCCCCUGUCUGCUUGUGCUCAGCACCAUGG